AUUCACUUUCUGGAUUGAGAGAGGUAGCAAGUUUCUCAUCCUAAAAUUACUCUCAAACAAGAACAAUUUUAUAAAUGUAUAAUUAUAUUCCAAUUAUACAAUGUUUAAGAUAUAUAUGAUACUUGAAGUACCUAAAACACCUUAAGUACUUUGGAUGCUUAAGGUACCAAAGAUAAUUAAGUAUGUUAUCAUGAUGAGAGCCAUGAAUAGGAGAAUCAGAGCAUCAUGUAGACAGAGAGCAGGGAGUAAGCUGAUAAUGAUGUAUUAUAUUUUAAAAUCAAGGGAUAAUGAAGAGUAAUAUACUGCAAAAAAGAUUACAUUUCUUCAUCUAGUCAACAAGGAUGAUGAGAGAGAUUUUGUGAAAACAUACUGCUUGAAAUUCAGAUAUACACAUGAAAGAUCAUCACAGAUUCUUGCCUUGUGAUGAAAAGAGAUUAGACACACACAGACAAGGGACAAGUCUGGUGAUGCCCUUCUCAGAAUAUUCAAGAAGUUCUGCAAAGAAUCAGGAGCAAGACUUUCAAACAAAGGAAAGGAAAUUCAAAUAGUGCAAGAUUAUUUUGUAUCUUUGAAAAAACAAGGAGAGAAUGGAAGAGUGUUGUUUUGAAGAAUAUUGGAUAUUGGCGUGCAGCCCCUGGUGACCUAUUCUCUAAGUCUGAACUUACUAUGAAUAAUAAUAAAAAGAUGGA
rnacentral:lncRNA from 1 species